AUUCCAGCUCCAAUAGCGUAUAUUAAAGUUGUUGCAGUUAAAACGCUCGUAGUUGGAUCUUGGGUCGUAAGGGUCGGUUCGCCUACUCGGUGUGCACCUGCCCUUCCGUCCCUUUUGUCGGCGGCGUGCUCCUGGCCUUAAUUGGCUGGGUCGCGGUUCCGGCGCUGUUAUUUUGAAAAAAUUAGAGUGCUCAAAGCAAGCUUAUGCUCUGAAUACAUUAGCAUGGAAUAACGUGAUAGGAGUCUGGUCCUAUUGUGUUGGCCUUCGGGACCGGAGUAAUGAUUAAUAGGGACUGUCGGGUGCAUUCGUAUUUCAUUGUCAGAGGUGAAAUUCUUGGAUUUAUGAAAGACGGACCACUGCGAAAGCAUUUGCCAAGGAUGUUUUCAUCG
rnacentral:rRNA from 1 species